rnacentral:tRNA from 1 species
ACUUAAUUAGUUUAUUUAAAAUAUUAAAUUGUGGUUUUAAAGAGGUUUAUCAUUAAGUA